rnacentral:rRNA from 1 species
UACGAAGGGGGCUAGCGUUGCUCGGAUUGACUGGGCGUAAAGGGCGCGUAGGCGGUUCGUACAGUCAGACGUGAAAUUCCUGGGCUCAACCUGGGGGCUGCGUUUGAUACGUGCGGACUUGAGUGCGGAAGAGGGUCGUGGAAUUCCCAGUGUAGAGGUGAAAUUCGUAGAUAUGGGGAGGAACACCGGUGGCGAAGGCGGCCAUCUGGACGGUAACUGACGCUGAGACGCGAAAGCGUGGGUAGCAAACAGG